rnacentral:rRNA from 1 species
GGAUUAGAUACCCUGGUAGUCCACGCCGUAAACGAUGGAUACUAGCUGUCCGGUGCCUUGAGUACUGGGCGGCCAAGCGAAAGUGAUAAGUAUCCCACCUGGGGAGUACGUUCGCAAGAAUGAAACUCAAAGGAAUUGACGGGGGCCCGCACAAGCGGUGGAGCAUGUGGUUUAAUUCGAUGAUACGCGAGGAACCUUACCAGGGCUUAAAUGCAUAUUGACAGGGCUGGAGACAGCUUUUCCUUCGGGCAAUUUGCAAGGUGCUGCAUGGUUGUCGUCAGCUCGUGUUG